GACGAACGCUGGCGGCGUGCUUAACACAUGCAAGUCGAACGGAAAGGCCCUGCUUUUGUGGGGUGCUCGAGUGGCGAACGGGUGGGUAACACGUUAGUAACCUGCCCUUGACUUUGGGAUAACUUCAUGAAACUGGGGCUAAUACCGGAUAGGAGCUCCUGCUUCAUUGUGGUGGUUGGAAAGUUUCGGCGGUUGGGGAUGGACUCGCGGCUUAUCAGCUUGUUGGUGGGGUAGUGGCUUACCAAGGCUUUGACGGGUAGCCGGCCUGAGAGGGUGACCGGCAAAAGUGGGACUGAGAUACGGCACAGACUCAUACGGGGGGCAGCAGUGGGGAAUAUUGCACAAUGGGCGGAAGCCUGAUGCAGCAACGCCGCGUGCGGGAUGACGGACUUCGGGUUGUAAACCGCUUUCGCCUGUGACGAAGCGUGAGUGACGGUAAUGGGUAAAGAAGCACCGGCUAACUACGUG
rnacentral:rRNA from 1 species